GACGAACGCUGGCGGCAGGCCUAACACAUGCAAGUCGAACGAGAAAGCCCUUCGGGGUAAGUAUAGUGGCGCACGGGUGCGUAACACGUGGGAAUUUACCCUUUAGUACAGGAUAACAGUUGGAAACGACUGCUAAUACUGUAUACGCUCUUCGGAGGAAAGAUUUAUCGCUAAAGGAUAAGCCCGUGCUAGAUUAGCUAGUUGGUGAGGUAAUGGCUCACUAAGGCUCCGAUCUAUAGCUGGUUUGAGAGGAUGAUCAGCCACACUGGGACUGAGACACGGCCCAG
rnacentral:rRNA from 1 species